GGCCGUACCUGGGUGCUGUGUCUGCGGGGCGUCUGGAGACGUCGACGUGGUCAUAGCAGGGCCUGGAACGGGGAGGUCUGGCCUGGACUAGAGAAAUGAGGGGCGUAUCCGCUUCUCCACCCUGGCCUCAGAUGAAGAGGCUCUGGGGGCAGGAGGGAGUCAGACACGUGCAGGGCAGGCGGCCUGUGCAGGGCCCAACCCUCCGGCACCAGAACCUGACCUCCUCAGAGGCCCCCACCGUGGAGGGAUGUCUGGGGGAUGCUGUGCGCUGCCGCUAUGAUGUUUGGUUAGAGAUUAAAGCCAUUUCAGAAGUGGACACCUGCCCAUGUGAUGCAAAGGGCUGGGAACCCGGUCUUGACUUUGCCUGGAAUGCCUUUCGGAAAGACCUCUGUCCCUGAGGCUGAGGGACAGUGCCCGCUCCUGCCAGGUGCCCAGCUCUUAAGCGGUCCCCAGUCUCAUGCCGCCUGCCCCGGGGCCUCCCCCAACUCAUUUGUUUAUUUCCCUGUUGGGAAUGUAUUGAUACCUCUAGGAUGCAAGGACGGAACCACACCUGAGGGGUGGACAGUCAGCCGGUGCCCAGCAAAUAUCUGUGGAAUUUCCUCCACACAACAGGGAAAGCAAUGGAGACAGAAACCUCUGCAGACCCCCGAGGGCACCCACUUCCCUGACCCCGCCCACCUCCCUGAUCCCCGCCCACCUCCCUGACCCCCAUCCUGCAAGCUGGGCCUAGGGUAUCGGUGGCCUGGCUGGUCAUGCCCUGGGCGCCAGCGCCUGCGGAGAGUUCAGGAAGUGAAGGGUUUAUCUCAGCUUGGCCCAUGACUGCGUUGAAGGACAGGAGGGAGCGGCUGUGGCUGUGGCUGGAAUCUGAAGCCGGUGUGGGCAGCCAGGGCCUUUCCCUGGGUGGUGACGAGCGAGGACCAGAGCCCUGUCUGCCCGAGGGAAGGGCGAGGGGACACUCCCCAUGGCGGGGGUGGGAUCCCGGUAGCCGGGGCUCAGUGACCGCUGCCUGGGCCACCGCCUGUGGGGACCUGACCUUCCUGGGGAAACCCAUGGGUCAAAGGAGCUGAGAAAUCCAAGCACCAAGUGGCCGCUAGGGCAGGACGGACGCGUUCGCAGUGGAGAAGCUGGGUGUGUCCGUGGGAAAGGAAAGAAAUGGAAGCAGAGGCUCUUCAGGGGCACCUGGGAACGCAGCCUACACUCUUCCCAGGCCUCCUCCCUCCGUCCACUGUGCCGCCUGGGUCCUGGGACAGCCUGAGGGCCGCAGGCUCCCAUGCAAGGCCCGCUGGGGGCCUGCUUGUCUGGGGCUGAAUUUGGACUUUAUGGGGCUAUGGCUUUAAUUUCACAAUGACCGAUAACCAGUGAACUGAAGCCAGGACAGCACCGUGAGCACCAAGUCAGAAAUUUUCACGAGGGAACCGAUGAACAGGAACAGAGUGUGAGGCUGCCCCAGCCGCGUCCUCCGGGAGGCGCCUUCCCAAGGGAGUGCAAGGCUGCCUGCUGUGGCCAGGCCACCAAAGCACCUUCUUCACUGCCAGGCAUCUUUUGAGGCACGCGAACAUCAGAGGCCCCAGCCAUGUGCUCUGGAGGAGAAGCUGAGAGCCCCAGGCCACAGGCAGGGCAGCCUCUGAGGGCCGGCUCAGGGAGAGUGGCCGGAGCUUCUGGCCUGGGGCAGGUGGACCCGUUAGAAACUGCAUGUGUUGCCUCUGGCACCAGCCACAGCAAGAGAUUCUCUUCCUAUCACACAGGGAACAAACUCAAGGAUCUUGACCUUGCCCUCCUCUCCCCAGCUGGCCGCACUUGGGGACGCUGAUGCCACAAAGGAA
rnacentral:antisense_RNA from 1 species